GUUAUAAUCACUACUUCACUUCGGGACCUGGGAGACUUGAAUGGAUAUACUCAGUCGGAGUAUAGGGGAUCCGUUACAAUGGCUAGCUGGCGUUUCUUGAUUAUUCUGACUGAUAGCAUGCAUCCGAAGUCUAGACAUAUUCGCUUAGCCUAUCUAUUGUUAUGUUAUUAUAAAAAAAAAAAAAAUGUUGAAAUGCCAUCUGUUUCUCUUAUAUAUAUUUUCGUACUUGCUCCGGCUGUCAUGGCAUUGCAAGCUUGCCUGUAAUUUCACUGCACAACAAAAAUAAAGAACAAAAAAAAAAGGGGGUAAUCCAAACUUGGACCCAGUGCACACUGUG